CUUUAACAAUCCGGAACAAGCUGAAAAUUUGAAACGACGCAUUGUCGUGUUCCUCCGUAAUAAGGAACACAGCACAACGCGUUCGAGUCUCUCAAAAGCUCAUAACACGCAGCGUAAAACGCCUGUGG
rnacentral:sRNA from 1 species